rnacentral:rRNA from 1 species
GGCAGACGGGUGAGUAACAUGUGGGAAUCUGCCUUGUGGUUCAGGACAACAUUGGGAAACCGAUGCUAAUACUGGAUAAGCCCUUACGGGGAAAGUUUUAAUGCCAUAAGAUGAGCCCGCACUUGAUUAGUUAGUUGGUGAGGUAAUGGCUCACCAAGACAAUGAUCAAUAGCUGAUCUGAGAGGAUGAUCAGCCACACUGGGACUGAGACACGGCCCAGACUCCUACGGGAGGCAGCAGUGGGGAAUCUUGCACAAUGGAGGAAACUCUGAUGCAGCGAUGCCGCGUGAGUGAAGAAGGCCUUUGGGUUGUAAAGCUCUUUUGUAGGGGAAGAUAAUGACUGUACCCUAAGAAUAAGGUCCGGCUAACUUCGUGCCAGCAGCCGCGGUAAUACGAAGGGACCUAGCGUAGUUCGGAAUUACUGGGCGUAAAGCGCGCGUAGGCCGUUGAGUUAGUUAAUUGUGAAAUCCCAAAGCUUAACUUUGGAACUGCAAUUAAAACUGCUCGACUAGAGUUUGAUAGAGGAAAGCGGAAUACAUAGUGUAGAGGUGAAAUUCGUAGAUAUUAUGUAGAACACCAGUUGCGAAGGCGGCUUUCUGGAUCAACACUGACGCUGAGGCGCGAAAGUAUGGGUAGCAAAGAGGAUUAGAUACCCUCGUAGUCCAUACCAUAAACGAUGAUUGCUAGAUGUUGGAAAUUUAUUUUCAGUAUCGCAGCUAACGCAUUAAGCAAUCCGCCUGGGGAGUACGACCGCAAGGUUAAAACUCAAAUGAAUUGACGGGGACCCGCACAAGCGGUGGAGCAUGUGGUUUAAUUCGAAGAUACGCGCAGAACCUUAC